CGGGGUUUGAUGAGAUAGUUAAAUCAUGGUGGCAAUUUACUCCAAGAUCGGUUGAUGCAGCGAGUAACAUUAUUUAAAAACUCAGAUACUCGAAAUCAAAACUGAAAGAAUGGAAUAAAGAGCAUAAUGAUAACAUUAUACAUAAGAAACACAAAAUAAAAGAAAGGCUGAUAUGGUUAGAUAUAUAGAAAGAGACCAGAAUAGAUGAAUAUUAUACUUAGAUAGAAAGAAAUUUAAUAGAAGCAAAGAUCAAGGGUACAAUAGCUAAAGUAUGGAGACAAAAAUAACAAUUUUUUCACAUUAUAGCA
rnacentral:lncRNA from 1 species